rnacentral:rRNA from 1 species
CGGGCGGGGAUUAGUGGCGAACGGGUGAGUAACACGUGGGCAAUCUGCCCUGCACUCUGGGACAAGCCCUGGAAACGGGGUCUAAUACCGGAUACUCACUGCCUUGGGCAUCCUUGGUGGUGGAAAGCUCCGGCGGUGCAGGAUGAGCCCGCGGCCUAUCAGCUAGUUGGUGAGGUAAUGGCUCACCAAGGCGACGACGGGUAGCCGGCCUGAGAGGGCGACCGGCCACACUGGGACUGAGACACGGCCCAGACUCCUACGGGAGGCAGCAGUGGGGAAUAUUGCACAAUGGGCGAAAGCCUGAUGCAGCGACGCCGCGUGAGGGAUGACGGCCUUCGGGUUGUAAACCUCUUUCAGCAGGGAAGAAGCGAAAGUGACGGUACCUGCAGAAGAAGCGCCGGCUAACUACGUGCCAGCAGCCGCGGUAAUACGUAGGGCGCAAGCGUUGUCCGGAAUUAUUGGGCGUAAAGAGCUCGUAGGCGGCUUGUCACGUCGGUUGUGAAAGCCCGGGGCUUAACCCCGGGUCUGCAGUCGAUACGGGCAGGCUAGAGUUCGGUAGGGGAGAUCGGAAUUCCUGGUGUAGCGGUGAAAUGCGCAGAUAUCAGGAGGAACACCGGUGGCGAAGGCGGAUCUCUGGGCCGAUACUGACGCUGAGGAGCGAAAGCGUGGGGAGCGAACAGGAUUAGAUA